rnacentral:rRNA from 1 species
GAGGUGGGAUUGCCAUGGGCGCAGCCUGAUGCAGCAACGCCGCGUGAGGGAUGACGGCCUUCGGGUUGUAAACCUCUUUUGGUAGGGAAGAAGCCUUCGGGUGACGGUACCUGCAGAAAAAGCGCCGGCUAACUACGUGCCAGCAGCCGCGGUAAUACGUAGGGCGCAAGCGUUAUCCGGAAUUAUUGGGCGUAAAGAGCUCGUAGGCGGUCUGUCGCGUCUGCUGUGAAAUCCCGAGGCUCAACCUCGGGCUUGCAGUGGGUACGGGCAGACUAGAGUGCGGUAGGGGAGAUUGGAAUUCCUGGUGUAGCGGUGGAAUGCGCAGAUAUCAGGAGGAACACCGAUGGCGAAGGCAGAUCUCUGGGCCGUUACUGACGCUGAGGAGCGAAAGGGUGGGGAGCAAACAGGCUUAGAUACCCUGGUAGUCCACCCCGUAAACGUUGGGAACUAGUUGUGGGGUCCUUUCCACGGAUUCCGUGACGUAGCUAACGCAUUAAGUUCCCCGCCUGGGGAGUACGGCCGCAAGGCUAAAACUCAAAGGAAUUGACGGGGACCCGCACAAGCGGCGGAGCAUGCGGAUUAAUUCGAUGCAACGCGAAGAACCUUACCAAGGCUUGACAUACACCAGAACGGGCCAGAAAUGGUCAACUCUUUGGACACUGGUGAACAGGUGGUGCAUGGUUGUCGUCAGCUCGUGUCGUGAGAUGUUGGGUUAAGUCCCGCAACGAGCGCAACCCUCGUUCUAUGUUGCCAGCACGUAAUGGUGGGAACUCAUGGGAUACUGCCGGGGUCAACUCGGAGGAAGGUGGGGAUGACGUCAAAUCAUCAUGCCCCUUAUGUCUUGGGCUUCACGCAUGCUACAAUGGCCGGUACAAUGGGGCUGCGAUACCGCGAGGGUGGAGCGAAUCCCAAAAAGCCGGUUCCAGGUUCGGAUUUGAGUCUGCAACUCGACCUCCAUGAAGUCGGAGUCCGCUAGUUAUUCGCAAGAU